ACGUAGGGACCGAGCGUUGUCCGGAAUCAUUGGGCGUAAAGAGCGUGUAGGCGGCCACUUAAGUCCUGCGUGAAAUCUUGCGGCUCAACCGCAAGCGGUCGUGGGAAACUGGAUGGCUAGAGUGCGGGAGAGGAAAGUGGAAUUCCACGUGUAGCGGUGAAAUGCGUAGAGAUGUGGAGGAACACCAGUGGCGAAGGCGACUUUCUGGUCUGUAACUGACGCUGAGGCGCGAAAGCGUGGGGAGCAAACAGGA
rnacentral:rRNA from 1 species